CAUCAGCAGGCAGAACUAGGCCAUUCCUGGGGGGCACCACCUGGGGCGUGGGAGUGAAUCACAGAUGUGGCCUGAGAUGAUUGACAGGAGGUUGUGGGAUGAGCCUGAGCAGAGACCCAGGAGGGAAGAAACCUCUCUCUGACUCUUUGCGCGCGGACCUGGACCCGUACCUCCAUCGCAGAUGAGGAAAGCGGGGCUGAAGAAGGAUGAGCACCUUGCAGGUAGGGCAACGGAGAGCUAGAUUUAUACCCACUUCUGCAGAAUCCGGCCUUGCCUCCUCCAGUCUCAGCUGCUCCGAAGUGCCUCCCUCACCCCCUGGACUUGCAACUCCUUGCAAGGGAGUUGAUCCAACUCCUGGGCCUUUGCACAAUCUAGGAAUGACUUUCUCCACCUCUCCAGCCCCCAGCAAACUCCCACUCACCUUUACUUCAAGGUCAAGUAUCUGAAACACCUUCCUCUACACCAGGUACCUUAUCUUCCUUUGUCUUUAUGUUGACAACUGGACAUUACACGGUGGAUUCUGGAUUUGGAUGAGCCACUUGUAGCCUGACUCCUUCCCCUGACGAGGCUGUGGGCCUCUGGAAGCCAAGACUCACACUUCAGGUUUGAAAUGUAUAAUUACUACACUCGUGAGUUACCGGAGCAGUGAAGGUCAAGAGCAUGGGUGGUAGAGUCCAGUCUCUUCCAUGCCUUUCUCUGUCAUCUACAAAAUGGGGAUCACACUCCAUUCACCUCACUGGAUUGUCAUGAGCAAUGGGCUGGAAACGGCCUGGCCCAGGUGAGCCCUUGUGAAUCUAUCCCUGUGCCCACCAUGGUCUCCUGUACUCUGAGGACCCUUGGAAGCACACAUCAUCCGCUCGCUUGCAGAAAAGAAAACUGAGACCUGGUACCCAAGGUGUCCAGCUGGCCCUCUGGACUCCAACCCUGGGCUCCCCACCCCUGCCCCACCUCAGCCUAGCACCUCUCAAAUAGCCCUGGCAGCCACACAAGCUCAGUCAGGUGCGUGUUAGCUGCAUUCAUGGAAGAUGAGUCACGGGUGGCAUGCUUGCCCUCUCUGGUCAGACCAAAAUAUCCUGGUGAAUGUUUGGCGUUAAGUAAUAAACUCUGACUGGGUGAUGUCUGAUGGUCACUCCUCUUGCCUCAGCUUCAUGUCAUUUCCUUAAUGUCAACUGCUGUCCCCUCCCACACAGUGCACUCCCUGAAGAAGCAACACAGGAAGGGCAGACGGGAAACUAGCGAGAAUGAAGGGGAAGAGCCCUCCUGGGGAAUGAUUCUGAUUGCGGCUUUGUAUGGCGUGACUUUUGUGUCUGUAAACAUCCCACAUCCAAAAAAAUAAACCAAACUGGGGUGAGUGUGUGGGAAUGCAUUGACUCCUUAUUAAAACUGAUAAAAUAACCAGA